rnacentral:rRNA from 1 species
AAUUCGCCCUUAGAGUUUGAUCAUGGCUCAGGAUGAGCGCCGGCGGCGUGCCUAAUACAUGCAAGUCGAACGAGAACCUAAUUUCGGUUAGGGGAAAGUGGCGGACGGGUGAGUAACACGUAGAUGACCUGCCUCGAAGAAGGGGAUAACACUCCGAAAGGAAUGCUAAUACCCUAUAAGCUCACAGGGUUUAGAAGCCAGUGAGAAAAGCUCCGACGCUUCGAGAGGGGUCUGCGGGCUAUCAGCUAGUUGGCGGGGUGACGGCCCACCAAGGCGGUGACGGGUAGCUGGUCUGAGAGGAUGGCCAGCCACAUUGGGACUGAGAGACGGCCCAGACUCCUACGGGAGGCAGCAGUGGGGAAUCUUGCGCAAUGGCCGCAAGGCUGACG